AUAACUACAGCUCAUUCCCCAACAAGAUAUUUGCCUUUCUACGAAUUCAAGACCAACACGUUAAUAGUUGCAGCCUCUACAAUGACUUCAUUUUCCUAUAGUCACUGAGUUAAAUCACCAUUAUUGCUAACUUUCUAGUUGCUAGAUGUAGUUGAAUUUUAAUCUUGAUAAAAUUUCUAAACAAAGGAUGUGCUCGUUUGAGCAAAAUAAUCAUAAUUCCGAGCCAAUCAAGAUAAUCAACUUCCAUUCCACUGCUCCCCCAGAACCAAAAUGCAAUGGCUUGUAGUACUAACCAGUAAUCCACAGGCAGUCAAAGCUUAUUUCUUAAUCAGGAGCCCAGAAAUUCACGAACUAUCAACCAUAGCUAAUUGGGCAUGCGCCUAGUUACCGAUGACCUAGCAAUUUAUUACCACUAGUCUCAUAACAAAAGAGUACUGCAAAACAAGUUUAAAUAUUGAUUCUUUUCUAUAAUUUGACUGCAAAGCCAUAUGAUUUAAUGAGCUUUGAACCUCUAAUAUAAUCAACACCAUGAAAAUGAAAACCAGCAACAUUUUCAUUCAAUG
rnacentral:misc_RNA from 1 species